AAUCGGUGGGGAAUAACGUAGACGAAAGUUACGCUAAUACCGCAUACGAUCUACGGAUGAAAGCGGGGGAUCGCAAGACCUCGCGCGAGUGGAGCGGCCGAUGUCAGAUUAGGUAGUUGGUGGGGUAAAGGCUCACCAAGCCAACGAUCUGUAGCUGGUCUGAGAGGACGACCAGCCACACUGGAACUGAGACACGGUCCAGACUCCUACGGGAGGCAGCAGUGGGGAAUUUUGGACAAUGGGCGCAAGCCUGAUCCAGCCAUUCCGCGUGCAGGAUGAAGGCCUUCGGGUUGUAAACUGCUUUUGUACGGAACGAAACGGCGAGCUCUAAUACAGUUUGCUAAUGACGGUACCGUAAGAAUAAGCACCGGCUAACUACGUG
rnacentral:rRNA from 1 species